UGUGUUGCUGUCUUGCUUGAUCCUUCUUUGUGAUUCGUUUGUGUUUUAGCUUUUAUUUUCGGAACUUUAUUAACUACAAACUUGGCUAUUCAAACGGACUCUGAUUGAUUGCAAUAACGACAUACUCAGCCUGGGAUUUACUGUUUUUGUGUGGCUCGGCCAAGGCUCGGCUGGUGGUUCUAUGGUGUUAGAAAAUGAGCAACUUAAUUAUACACAACAAUGGGCAGCACCUCGAUCGGUUACAGCUCAUGAUCUUAUAUGCACAACAUGUUGGACCCAAGCCCAAGAUACAACACAAAUGCAUCUACUUCAAAUCUUAGCAGAAAAUGUAUGCUUUGCAGUAGAACACUAGAGCCUAGAACACGUUCACAUCAGCUCAUGUCCCUGAGAACUAACACUCAACAUCAUAUUAACAUCAGGAACAUAAUUGUGGAACGACUAACUCCAUUAGAGGUUACUGCAAAUGACUACAUCUGUGGGGCUUGUCACUCAUUAUUGCAAAGAGAUACCACACCUACUUCACAAGACUCUCCAGAUAUGCCAACCGGUGCCCCGGUAGGUCACCAACAAGUUUGUGUUGGAUGUGGUUGUUCAUUAUUGCGAACUUGAAGUCAUUGUUUGGAUACAGAGAAUAAUCAAGAUAUAUUAAACAUUGUUCGAAAUUGGA